rnacentral:rRNA from 1 species
UACGUAGGGUGCGAGCGUUGUCCGGAAUUAUUGGGCGUAAAGGGCUCGUAGGCGGUUUGUUGCGUCGGGGAGUGAAAACACUGGGCUUAACCGAGUGCUUGCUUUCGAUACGGGCAGACUUGAGGCAUUGAGGGGAGAACGGAAUUCCUGGUGUAGCGGUGAAAUGCGCAGAUAUCAGGAGGAACACCGGUGGCGAAGGCGGUUCUCUGGCAAUGUUCUGACGCUGAGGAGCGAAAGUGUGGGGAGCGAACAGG